rnacentral:rRNA from 1 species
UGCCAGACUCCUACGGGAGGCAGCAGUGGGGAAUAUUGCACAAUGGGGGAAACCCUGAUGCAGCGACGCCGCGUGAGCGAUGAAGUAUUUCGGUAUGUAAAGCUCUAUCAGCAGGGAAGAAGAUGACGGUACCUGACUAAGAAGCCCCGGCUAACUACGUGCCAGCAGCCGCGGUAAUACGUAGGGGGCAAGCGUUAUCCGGAUUUACUGGGUGUAAAGGGAGCGUAGACGGCAAUGCAAGCCAGAUGUGAAAGCCCGGGGCCCAACCCCGGGACUGCUCUUGGAACUGCGCGGCUGGAGUGCAGGAGGGGCAGGCGGAAUUCCUGGUGUAGCGGUGAAAUGCGUAGAUAUUAGGAGGAACACCGGCGGCGAAGGCGGCCUGCUGGACCGUAACUGACGUUGAGGCUCGAAAGCGUGGGGAGCAAACAGGAUUAGAUACCCCAGUA